rnacentral:rRNA from 1 species
UACAGAGGGGGCAAGCGUUAUUCGGAAUUAUUGGGCGUAAAGAGCUCGUAGGUGGCGUGUCGCGUCUGCCGUGAAAGCCCAUGGCUUAACUGUGGGUCUGCGGUGGAUACGGGCAGGCUGGAGGCUGGUAGGGGCAAGCGGAAUUCCUGGUGUAGCGGUGAAAUGCGCAGAUAUCAGGAGGAACACCGGUGGCGAAGGCGGCUUGCUGGGCCAGUUCUGACGCUGAGGAGCGAAAGCGUGGGGAGCGAACAGG